rnacentral:misc_RNA from 1 species
AACGCACAUUGCGCCCGCCAGUAUUCUGGCGGGCAUGCCUGUCCGAGCGUCAUUUCAACCCUCGAACCCCUCCGGGGGGUCGGCGUUGGGGAUCGGCCCUUUCACCGGGUGCCGUCCCCCAAAUACAGUGGCGGUCUCGCCGCAGCCUCUCAUGCGCAGUAGUUUGCACACUCGCACCGGGAGCGCGGCGCGUCCACGUCCGUAAAACACCCCAAACUUCUGAAAUGUUGACCUCGGAUCAGGUAGGAAUACCCGCUGAACUUAA